GCCCCGGUAGUUAAAUGGAUAUAACUGCGGACUUCUAAGCCGUUAUUCGAGGUUCGAUUCCUCGCCGGGGCA
rnacentral:tRNA from 1 species